rnacentral:rRNA from 1 species
AUACAAGUAGUAGGGAAGGAAACUGGACCGACCCUUCGGGGAGCUUGUACAGGUGCUGCAUGGCUGUCGUCAGCUCGUGUCGUGAGAUGUUCGGUUAAGUCCGCUAACGAGCGCAACCCUCGCUGUGUGUUACAAGUGUCACACGGAACUGCCGGUCAUAAACCGGAGGAAGGUGGGGAUGACGUCAAGUCAGCAUGGCCUUUAUAUCCUGGGCUACACACACGCUACAAUGGGAAGGGACAAUAGGUUGCGAAGCCGCGAGGCGGAGCCAAUCCAGCAAAACUUCCCUCAGUUCAGAUUGCAGGCUGCAACCCGCCUGCAUGAAGUUGGAGUUGCUAGUAAACGCAGGUCAGCCAUACUGCGUUGAAUACGUUCCCGGGGCUU